GACGAACGCUGACGGCGUGCUUAACACAUGCAAGUCGAAGGGAGUGGCGAACGGGUGAGUAACACGUGAGUAACCUGCCCGUUUCUUUGGUAUAAGCCUGGGAAACUGGGUCUAAUACUGGAUGGCUUGGGAUGGGGUCGCGGCUUAUCAGCUUGUUGGUGGGGUGAUGGCUUACCAAGGCUUUGACGGGUAGCCGGCCUGAGAGGGUGGACGGUAACUCUGGGACUGAGAUACGGCCCAGGCUCCUACGGGAGGCAGCAGUGUGGGAUAUUGCACAAUGGACGAAAGUGUGAUGCAGCGACGUCGUGUGGGGGCUGAAGGCCUUCAGGUUGUAAACUCCUUUCGCCCGCGGAAUGGUAGUGGGUAAAGAAGCGCCGGCUAACUACGUGCCAGCAGCCGCGGUAAUAC
rnacentral:rRNA from 1 species